rnacentral:rRNA from 1 species
UACGUAGGUGGCAAGCGUUGUCCGGAUUUACUGGGCGUAAAGAGCGCGCAGGCGGUCGUUCAAGUCGCGUGUGAAAGCCCCCGGCUCAACUGGGGAGGGUCACGCGAUACUGAUCGACUGGAAGGCAGGAGAGGGUAGUGGAAUUCCCGGUGUAGUGGUGAAAUGCGUAGAUAUCUGGAGGAACACCGGUGGCGAAGGCGGCAUCCUGGACCGGCAUUGACGCUGAGGAGCGAAAGCCAGGGGAGCAAACGGG